AAAUGUCGGCGUCGGAUCCAGCUCCAUGAUGAGCAGACUGGGCUCCAUGGCUGCCCCCUUUCGUUUUGUCUUUAGGUGCUAUUAACGUUCAUCUACCUCCGAUAAUCUUUGGAUUACUGCCAAUGUUCUCUGCCGCAUGCUGUCUUGCACUCCGGAGACAAGAGGAGCCGAACUGCCGCAAACGAUGGAAGACGGGAGAACUUUGGAAAGAAACAGAGAUCAGACACAAAAUCAGGUGUCCCCAACGCUGCAUUUACAUCAGAAGAAAACGACACCUCCUCGAAAGCAAUCUGAUAGAAUUCAGUCAGCCUCGCCGUUAUUUCCUCGCCACCAACGUGUAUUAUACUCAAAGUUCUAUCUUUUAUUGAUUCGUUCUUAGCAAUUUUGUUUACCGAGAAGUUAAUCUUUUCCCAAGCUGUUUUAUAAUUUGUAUUACCUUGUUAUUUCGUUUCUUGUUUUAAAGAAACUACUGUUUAAAUAGCCACAAAAAGGGACUAAAACAUUGUUACAGAAAAUAAUGAAUAUUUUAAUGUCCUUUUUUCACCGCGGAAAGCAGACGCUUACUUUCGUGCCAGUUCAUGCCCCUCCGAAUGAAUGAGAAGUGCAUUUGAAAUUUUGUAGUGUUUUAUAGCCCUCAAUAAUACAUUACACCUCAUUAUAAAAUUAAUAAUUGAAAUUUUUCAUAGCAUGACGCGUCUCGAAUUUUAUUUCCUGUGGCUCGAAUUUUCUGUAUAGUUGUGAUCAUACUCAGAAUUUUCUUUAACAUUGUAACAAUGUUUUAUUUUCCCGAAUAAGAGUUGUGAAAAUUUUAAGAAAAUUUUCAAUAAUUAUUUUUGUUGAAAUGUUAUUUCGGCAUGUAUUUGCUUGUAUUUUAGUUUAAAUGUAAGACUGUUAUUGCUGUAAUUCUUUCUAUUUGUGUCUUUAUUAGUUUGAAGAUAGGUAUUUAUUAUGUGAAAAGGGCAUUUAAAAUGCUCUGUUUUGUGGAUUUUAUUAUGUUUUAAAAUACUAAGAUAGCAUUACGUAUUUAUUUUUUUACCGAUGAUAUUAUUUCUCUAAUUUCAUUGUCAUUAAACACAAAUUAAGAACACAGUCCGUAUUUGCUAGCCCUUUCAAUUGUGUCAGAGCACCAAUGAUGUCAGUAGAAUUAUCGCAAUCAUAUCAGUAAUUUUGAAUUUUUGCGCAGAUUAAGGCGUUUUUUUCGGAUUCUCGGGCAUUUUGCUUAAGCUCCUCAAUCUGUACAAAUCUGUAUAACUAAUAGAAUCUGACAAAGUGCAUGUGUUAACUUGAUACAGUUAUUUCAUAUACUUCAAAAAGAAAAUCAUGUUAAACGAACUAAAAGAAAUUGUGUGAAAAUUCUAAAAAUGUACCAUUGAAGACCUGAGUUUGAUUAUUAUUUCACUCCAUAACCAAAACAACGAGUAACAUAACUAUAGGGGUGCAUUCCGACCGACAAGAAACACUCCAUUGUGAACGGCAAGAAGAAGCGCCUUCAAUCGACUGGAUAUGCACAAAUAAAUCUAUCAAGUUAAAAUAGUUACAUACUCAGCAGUUUGAAGGCGAUCUACGGAAGUACCGGUCUUACGUUCAGUGAUGUUCAAUCAAAUAGGAAUGUAUGAUUUACUUAUAAAAUCCACUCUACUCCACAUAAUUUAUGUUGAAAAUCCAUCUUAAAUUUCAGAUUAGAGCGAGAAUCAAUUUCUCUAUACGAGAAAUCCACUCUACUCCACAUAACUUAUGUUGAAAAUCCAUCUUAAAUUUCAGAUUAGAGCGAGAAUCAAUUUAACUGAUCAAGUCGUUAACCAAACUGCAUGACCUACGUAUGAUAUUCAAAGGAAAGAAAAACUGGUGGUACUCAAUCUUUUCAGG
rnacentral:lncRNA from 1 species